rnacentral:lncRNA from 1 species
UGUCUUUGUUUUUAUCUUUUACAGUUUGAAAAUGAGUUUCAAUACAGGAGAUUAUUCUUGUAGGGUUACAUCAUCAAGUCAUUGCUUUACAUUUCGCCCAUUAGAAUAAACCACAUCAGCCUCAUGCUCGUGGCUUUCUUGAUUGUUCCGAUUCCAAAAUGCUUAUCAAUUUCAGUGUUCAAUCUCCAAACAAUCACACCUCUAGUAUUUUUUGAUCCCAAAUUAGCUUAUAGCGUUUCUCUCUGCAAAUCUUGGUGAUUUUAUGCAUGGAUCUAUACAUGUACACAGUCGUUGGUUUCUGGUGUAGCAUCAUCAAGAUUCACAUGUAAAAGCAAGAUGGUAAGCUGCUAUCAUCUAUCUAUAUCUAUAUAUACCAAAGGCUUUUUGAUGGUGAGAAUCCUGAUGAUGCUGCAUCGGCAAUAAAUGACUAGCAAAUCAAUAGAAAUGGUCGGUCACAGAAGUGUUUCCUUCUUCAAUUAUUUCAUCAAGAUUCGGGAGGGUUAAAUUCACUGCUUUGCAGUUCUUUGUUGGAUUCUGUCAGGUGGGAUUUUUGGUAUUCUCUAGGACUAAAAUACUGUUUUAUUUUUUCUUUAUUUUGCUUUGUUUUCUGUCAGCUCUAUCAAGAACCGACACAACUGACUACACUCUGCUGAUGACAUACGGAUUGAGUACUGCAUAGAUCUGUGAUUAUUCAUCUGUGCCGAUCCAAAAAGGUCUCUAUAAUAGAGAUGGGGUGUAAAUAUAAUCAGGGGAAAAGAACUUGGGAAAGAGAAAAAUUACCAUAAAGGGGUAAUUGUUGUAUUCAUUUUUGCUUAUUUUUUUUAACAUUUAGCAUUUAAUACCUUGUUUUUCACUGUUUUCAGCAAAUAAUGGAUAUGCAAAUUGAAUGGUCAGCUUCAGACAAGAAUUUGAAGCGACAGCAGUCAAGAAAAAGAGGUAAGAAAAGAUUGUUUAUAAGUGUUCUAUUUGCUCAUAGAAUAUAAUCAAUGUAUUAAUUAACUCAAUACUAUAUAGAUGUUUGGUUUUGUGUUUCUGUCUUUUUAUAGAGGAAAUAUAAAAUAAAAUUGAUUAUUUUAUGGAGAUUCUCAAUUAUAAGUGGAUUUUUUCUGUUCAAGGGAUAGUUUUCUUUGAAAGUUGCAACUUCUCUACGAACUUCUGAGUGCAAAUCAUGAUAGAAUUAAACCUGAUAGUAACGUAACUCAAUGAUUAGGUUCAUUGCUUUCAACAUUUGAUCACAAUCAGUCUUACUGGUAAUAUCUAUUGUUGAGAAACAUCUGAGCAACUUAGCCUAAUUGACAUGUAUCCUCAAAGUAUCUUUGCUUUCCCUCGUGGGUUUAGUACACCCAGGGAAAACUGCUCCAAAAGAAAGAAAAAUGUGCGUGCUGCACUCAAGAAUGACUGCUAGUGGUAUACUGGAGGAAGGUGGGGAUGACGUCAAAUCCACAUCCCUAUGUCAUUGAUUACGUUGAUGAUUCAAAUAAUGAUAUUAUAGAGAGAUCUUUUGAUGCGCGGGUGCAUCUUGGAGCAAUUUUUUUAUUUUUGUACGUGUAUGAAAAAAGCUAGUCAAUAUUCACAGUUUAAAGUGUCUAUAUGAGCCAAUGACAUAAAUUAACUUGGCCUAAUGCAUUAGGACUAAUAGUCACAGCAAUUAAAAGGAUUCUAACCCAAGUAACUUCAAAAGUUCACUUAAUUUGGAGGAGUUGAACGACCUUGUCUGGAUUUGAUGAUCACCAUUUUAUGUGAUGGCCAGCGAUAAUCAUGAAAUGAGACACAAUUGAAAUUAACAUUUGCUAAAUCAGCAAUUUAAUGCUUCUGAUUUCCAUGAACCGAAAUGAUUUAGAAGGAUUUUGUAACUAAACCAAAAUUUAUCAUGAACAAAGCUCAAUUUGUUUUUGUUGUUGUUGUUGUUGUGCAUUUGAUCAUACAAGUCCUUACUAUUUACCAGUACUUCUCUAUCUUCAACUUUUGUUGUUGUCCAUCCAAAUUCUAUCCUGCUUAUAGAUUGUUCAUCCAAACUCAGAAU